rnacentral:rRNA from 1 species
CCUACGGGGGGCUGCAGUGGGGAAUAUUGGACAAUGGGGGCAACCCUGAUCCAGCCAUGCCGCGUGUGUGAAGAAGGCCCUCGGGUUGUAAAGCACUUUCAGUGAGGAAGAACGCCUGGUGGUUAAUACCCAUCAGGAAAGACAUCACUCACAGAAGAAGCACCGGCUAACUCCGUGCCAGCAGCCGCGGUAAUACGGAGGGUGCGAGCGUUAAUCGGAAUUACUGGGCGUAAAGCGCGCGUAGGUGGCUUGAUAAGCCGGUUGUGAAAGCCCCGGGCUCAACCUGGGAACGGCAUCCGGAACUAUCAAGCUAGAGUGCAGGAGAGGAAGGUAGAAUUCCCGGUGUAGCGGUGAAAUGCGUAGAGAUCGGGAGGAAUACCAGUGGCGAAGGCGGCCUUCUGGACUGACACUGACACUGAGGUGCGAAAGCGUGGGUAGCAAACAGGAUUAGAUACCCUUGUAGUC